AGUGAACGCUGGCGGCGUGCUUAACACAUGCAAGUCGAACGAGAACGGAUUAUAGCUUGCUAUAAUUGUCAGCUAAGUGGCGCACGGGUGAGUAAUGUAUAGGUAAUAUGCCUCUUACUAAGGGAUAACAAAUGGAAACGUUUGCUAAUACCUUAUACUCCUUAUUAACAGAAGUUAAUAAGGGAAAGAUUUAUUGGUAAGAGAUUAGCCUGUAUUGUAUCAGUUAGUUGGUGGGGUAAUGGCUUACCAAGACUAUGACACAUAACUGGUUUGAGAGGAUGAUCAGUCACACUGGAACUGAGACACGGUCCAGACUCCUACGGGAGGCAGCAGUGGGGAAUAUUGGUCAAUGGGCGCAAGCCUGAACCAGCCAUGCCGCGUGCAGGAAGACGGUCCUAUGGAUUGUAAACUGCUUUUAUACAGGAAGAAACAACUCUACGUGUAGAGUCUUGACGGUACUGUAGGAAUAAGGAUCGGCUAACUCCGUG
rnacentral:rRNA from 1 species